UAACUGAGGGAAACUUCAGCUAAUACCGUAUGAGCCCGAGAGGGGAAGAUUAUCGCCUUGGGAGCGGCCCGCGUCGGAUUAGCUAGUUGGUGGGGUAACGGCCUACCAAGGCUUCGAUCCGUAGCUGGUCUGAGAGGACGAUCAGCCACACUGGGACUGAGACACGGCCCAGACUCCUACGGGAGGCAGCAGUGGGGAAUCUUGCGCAAUGGGGGCAACCCUGACGCAGCCAUGCCGCGUGAACGAUGAAGGCCUUAGGGUUGUAAAGUUCUUUUACCCGUGACGAUGAUGACGGUAACGGGGGAAUAAGCUCCGGCUAACUUCGUG
rnacentral:rRNA from 1 species